rnacentral:miRNA from 14 species
AGUGACAGGCAGGUCUCUGUGAGUUCAAGGCCAGCCUGCUCUACAUAAUGAGUUCCAGGGCAGCCAGAGCUACACGGAGAAACCCUGUCUCAAGAA